UUCUCCCUGGCACUAUAAGUGUCCUAAAGGGUUGUUCGAGACUAGAACGUUGAUAGGCAGGGUGUGUAAGCGCUGUGAGGCGUUGAGCUAACCUGUACUAAUUGCCCGUGAGGCUUAACCAUACAACACCCAAGGGGUUU
rnacentral:rRNA from 1 species